rnacentral:rRNA from 1 species
CCAAGGAGUCUAAUUAGGCAUCGAGUCGAUCGGUCUUGAUAGGCCAGAUAGGGGGACUUGUUUCUUCGAUUGAAGGCGUAGAGAAAUCAAAUCAUGUGAUCGCUGGGAUAAAAACAAUCCUGGUGCGCAACAUGUGCCUGUUCGUAUAGCAAUGUGCGUUAAAACACUUGCUGGGCGGAGCAAAGAGAUGCCUGAUUGGUACCCGAAAGAUGGUGAACUAUGCUUGGGCAAAUUGAAGCCAGAGGAAACUCUGGUGGAGGAUUGUAGCGAUUCUGACGUGCAAAUCGAUCGUCAGACCUGAGUAUAGGGGCGAAAGACUAAUCGAACCAUC